CCCCCUCUCCCUUAUAACACAGAACACGUGAAGCUAGAGCGGUUCAGUCUUCUGUCUAACGGUGAAUUCGUCUGAGCAGAGUGUCAUGCUGUUUCUCGCAUUUUCCACAGUUCCCAGGAGGUAAAAGAUCUCUGGCUGGAGGCCCUCCGAGGACAGAGCCAAGGCCACACGGGAGCAAAAUUCAUCACCAGACAGUCAGCCCCAACUCUGAUGAAGUUGACCAGCAGCUGCAAUGCUUCAAAAACACUAAAUGCCACUAAUAUGGAGACAUUAAUUGAAUGUCACUCAGAGGGUGAUAUCAAGGAACACCCUCUGUUGGCAUCAUGUCAGAGUGAAGACAGCCUUUGCCACCUAAUUGAAAUUAAGAAGAGAAAGAAGGUGCUGUCCUGGCUCUUUCUCAUGAGAAGGCUUUCCUCUUCGUCAGACUUUCCUGGGGCUUCGGAGCCAGAGUUGAAGGCGUCGCUAUUUGACCAGCCCCUGUCAGCCAUCUGCAGCAACAACGACACGCUCCCCAGACCCAUCCAGGAUAUCCUCACUAUUCUGUGCCUUAAAGGCCCUUCCACUGAAGGGAUAUUCAGGAAAGCAGCCAACGAGAAAGCCCGCAAGGAGCUCAAGGAGGAGCUCAACUCUGGAGGCGCGGUGGACCUCAAAAGCCUCCCUGUGCACCUCCUGGCCGUGGUCUUCAAGGACUUCCUCAGAAGUAUCCCGCUGAAGCUUCUGUCCUGUGACCUGUUUGAGGAGUGGAUGGGCGCCCUGGAGAAGCAGAGUGAGGAGGACAGGAUUGAGGCCCUGAAGCAGGUUGCAGCGAAGCUCCCGCGGCCCAACCUCCUGCUGCUCAAGCACCUGGUCUCUGUGCUCCACCUGAUCAGCAGGAACUCUGAGGUCAACAGGAUGGAUGCCAGCAACCUGGCCAUCUGCAUCGGACCCAACAUGCUGACCCCAGACAACGACCAGCACCUGUCGUUCGAAGCCCGGAGAGACGUGAACAAUAAGGUUAAGAUGCUGGUGGAAUUUCUCAUCGAUAACUGCUUGGAAAUAUUUGGGGAGACCAUUCCAGCACAUUCCAGCACUGCUUCUGAUGAUUCCCUGGAACACACUGACGGUUCAGACAUGUCAACCCUGCUGAACGACUCGGCCUACGACAGCAACGAUCCCGACCCCGACAUGGACUCCUCCCCCAGCAGGCGGCCCCCGGGGCCCUCGGACCCGGCUGCCGGCCUGGAGCCCAGAGGCCGGCAGCACACCUGGGAGCCCAUUGCCAGCACGGUGGCCAGACUGAAGGGCUCCCUCAGUCAGGUGGACCGGAGGUACUCGGACCCCAGCAUGGCAUCCAUCCCCAAGCAUCUCGAGGGCUGGAAAACAAACCAAAAAUUAACGCGAAGUGAGGAUGACUUCACCCUGGCCCGGGCAGCCUCCUGUUUUGCAAGCGAGGAAGCUGAGGACCCAUUUUCUGAGGAGGUGUUUCCUGCAGCUCAAGGCAAAAACCAGAGGCCCCAGGACCUGAGGGUGCAGGACUCGACUCAGGUUUUGGGGUUACCGCAUAGACCAGCGCCCCAGGCCGCCUCCAGUGGCUCUCUGGACACUUCCCCCGACGGCUCGCCCGUGACUUCUCCUUCCAGUCCCAAAAGAAACUUCUUCUUCACCAGACACCAGUCUUUCACAAAGGCUGAGAAAAGUAAGCCCAGCAGAGAAAUCAAAAAGCACUCCAUGUCGUUCUCCUUUGCCUCUCACAGAAGAGUGCUGACCAAAACCCCCAGCUCUGAGGCUGUGAGAGCCAAGGCCAUCACCAGGGACCAAGCAAAUAGAGGGUUGAAAAAAGAAAGCCAGCUCGCUGGCCGAAUUGUCCAGGAGAACGCCUCUGAAGUCCACGGCCAAACAGCUGGAGAGUUUCACUCGGGGUCCUGCGCCCUCUCGGUGGAGUACGUGUUCCCUCAGAGGAGCCCAGGAAGCCCACCCUCCUACGAGGAGGCCAUGCGGCACCAGGCCUUGGAGCUUGCGGCCGUCGGGGCCCAGACGGUGGGCAGCAUGAGGGCCAGGAUGCUCAGCCUGGACUCAGGCUUGCCACCUCCUCUCCCUUCCCACCGUGGAGGGGAUGCAAGAAACACGUGCAGUCAAGAGCCGCUGGGCAGGCACCGACGGUGGCCCAGGACUGGGAGCUGGACGGAGAGCGGGACUGUCUGCGCUUCUAUAGAAACGAGAGGACAGGUGACUGUCCCCGGGAGGCCAGAGCUGCAGCGGCCGAGAACUGUGUUGGAGCCUCGCCAGCAGGGCGAGCAGGACUCCCUGCUCCGACGGUGUUAUCACCCCGUCUUUGAGGCCGAGCAGCUCCGAUACGCUAAAGAAUCCUACGUUUAGGCUGGUGGGCCUGACGCCAGGACACAGCUCCCGGCAUCUCUGAGUGCGUGACUGUGUCAUGUGAACCGCUUUUGGACUCUGUUUUCCAAAAAGUCAUGAAUAAGCUCCUUUAGAAAGUUGGGUAGAGGCCUCCUGAGAGAGGAUAGCACACAACCACACGGGGCCUUAGGCAGCGUCUGCGCGCACCUGCGUGUGUGUGACGUGUAGCAGACGUAGAAAACACAGCCUAAACAUGGCAUUGGGUGCAAAGCUCUACAUAAAUAUGUGUAUAUAUUUGUUGGUAAACUUUCGGUCAACUGCAUUGCUGUCCUCCGCUUCCUGGGGCAUUUUUCUAUUGUUCAUAGAAUCCCAUCAAGGAAAUCAUUCACACACUGAUUCAUCCAGCAAGCAUUUCUUGAACAUAUAUUCAUUAUUCUGGACUAACAGGCAUAGUGAGAUGGAGACUUGUGAUUGGGAAGAAGAGACAAUCCCUGUUGUCCAGAAAUUCACACCACCAUAAAGAUGGACCCUCUUCAAGCCAAUUUUUGGGCAAAUGAUCACUCAGAGACCAGAAAAUUUGAGUACAAAUCAAAUGUGAAUGAGGAACCACCAGUGGGGUGAAGUGGGACCCUCCUCCUACCAUAGGCUACAAAGAGGGCACAUGGUGAGACCAGCACGCCUGCAGAAUGCAACAGCUCAUCAGAAAAAGGAAACACAGAAUGAUAACAUCUCUGUAGGAAAAGAAAGCUAAUGUGUCGGUACAAGAAAGAGGGUGUGAUCCACAUCCACAGGGCCUGAGGCCACACCCCAGAUGUGCUACCGUGGACCAGGUGCCAUGCUGUCUAAGCAUCAGCUUCUCCACCUGUAAAUAGAGGAUAAUCAUAACACGGCAUCAGUCGUGGAAUGCAUGUAAGAAAAACUCCAGGAAACAGAGAGCAGGGACGUGCGCUCUCUCUCUGUUAAAGGAACAGGUGGCAGCCCAGGGCUGGCAUGGUAGCUCCCAGACCCCCUCGGCCCCAGUUCCUUCACACCCGAGGCCACUUCGUGGGCAUGUGACCUGUGCAGUCACAUAGGGCUCCAUGCUUCAAAGUCAUAAAACAUGUCAAGUUUUCCUAAGUUAAUUUAUAAACUUAAGGUGUUCACAAUAAAAGAACCAAGAGGAGGUUUUCGAAGUUUGUUUUUUUUUUUUUUUUUGGUUGUUGCUGUUACUUAUUGGAACUAAACAAACUGAAUCUGAAAGUCAUAUUUCAAAAAGCAGUAAACUAAUAGGAAAGGGAAGUAUAGAACAGAGGAGCAGUGAAGAAGGCGAGCCCUCUGAUUUUAUACCAUGCUCUGUAUAGGAACAGGUGGGUCCCGGAGCAGGACUAGACAGCAAACCAACAGAACAGAAUAGAAAGCCCAAAAGCAGAGGCGAAUGCAUACGGGGCCUUAGUGUAUGAAGGUGGCAUUUCACCGCAGUGGGGAAUCUAAAGAUAAUUCAAUAUAUGGCAUCGGUUAUAAAUGAGUGGCCAUCUGGGGGGGAAAAAAGGUAGAACCAUAUCUCACAAUCUAUGCCAGGAUAAAUUCUAGAUGGAUCCAAGAUUUAAAUGUGGAAAGUAAAAGAAUGCUACUGUAUAGCACAGAGAACUA